rnacentral:lncRNA from 1 species
GGGCUCCGCGCGUGGCGGCCACCGGGCGGCUGGGUGGGAGAAACUUUCCCCUCUGUCACCCGCGCCACCGCCGAGUUGCUUAGCCGACCGCUGGCCCGGAGGACGCCCGUCCUUUGCCCAGGAGACGCCCUUCGGUUCGCAUACCCUGCCCUCGGACUUCGGUCCAGCACGGGACCAGGUGGAAGGUUCCUACAGAGCAGCCUGGCUUUCCUGGGCCGUCGGUGCUUCCUGGAGUUCCAUGGAAAAUGAGAGGCCUCCCGAUCCCGCAGACUGGGCUGUGAUGGACGUUGUCAAUUAUUUCCGCACGGCGGGAUUUGAGGAGCAAGCCGGUGCAUUUCAGGAACAGGAAAUUGAUGGAAAAUCCCUGCUCUUGAUGACGAGAAAUGACGUGUUGACGGGACUUCAGUUAAAACUGGGGCCUGCUCUGAAAAUCUAUGAGUAUCAUGUAAAACCUCUUCAGACCAAGCAUUUAAAGAACAUCUCUUCAUAGUAAAAUCACACUGAGGUCUCAGUCCUCAGAACAAAAUACACAGUGUUGUAAUUUAGUUUUAUGUUGUUCUGCAAACAGAAUAGCUAGACGUGUAUAUGUAAAUCCAGCGAAGUGUUAUCCUGUUGGAUAGAUGAGGCAGUCCAUCCACUGGCCUGAUUCUGUCUGGAGGAGCAAAAACAGAGCAGACAUAAGAUGGCUGUCGAUGACUCUUAGGUACUCCUCCACUCAGGGGCUUUGGUGUUAUAAGAACUUCCUUUGUUUCAUCAUAGUGUUUUCCGUCAACCCCGUUUUAAAAAAGGGUGGGAGUGGAAUGUGUGUCCCUGGAUUAUAGGCUUAGAAAUGGGAAUAAACAAAACUCCCUGGGGAGGGGAAGAGCGAGGAGGAAUGCUGUCUCCCUGGAAUCGCUCUGCUCCUAGACUUCUGUGCCUUGGAUGGUGCUGCCAACACCCUUUUUCUGUAGAGGGUUCUCCGCUUGGCCUUGCUAAGGUUUCACCAGGAUGUGCCAUGCUGUGUUUGAAUGGAACAGACACCAGGGCCCCCUUCAGGAGCAGAACUCUCUCUGAGAAGAGACACUGGUUUUGUACUGGAGAUAUCUGCUGUAAUCAACUCAUUGUCACAGGGUUAAGAAUAUUUCCUGCUCACGUCGGUUCCUUAUUGCUGAAGAAAGCAUUUAGUGUUUUGUUGUUAUUUUGCUUAUUUUUUUAUGGUUUGCAUUUAUAAUAAUUUCUUUUUGAAGCAGUUUGCCAAGAGUUAAUAGAUGAUCUCAAAGCUUUGUUGAUAGCACAGAAUAUUUUUAUAUAAUAUAUAUAUAGCCUUCCAUGAUGCUGGAAUAGUUUUUUUCUUUAGCUGUCCUCUGCUGUGUCUGGUCCCUGGUUUGAGUCCUGUCUUCCAGAACUUGAGAAAGUAGGCUUGCUACAUCUCUGUUCCAAGAGACACUGAGUAAUGCAUGUCCAUGCCUCGUGGAUUUGGUGCUUGGUGAUGGCAAUAAAACACGGUUUCAGUUCACC